GCUGAAAGGAAGGACUAUGGAGCGUC
rnacentral:piRNA from 1 species